UUCAACACAAUGAAUAAUUUUUUCCAGUCUGUGACAGGUCCCAUUGACUCUCUGACUGAAUGGUAGAUGAAGAAUUUGGUUCUCAUUUAGAGGAUGUUCCGUACCAAAAGAAGAGCUGGGAGGAGUGGAGGCGGAAAAAACAAAGUUUGGAAACCCUGUGAUGAGACCUGUUACUGAAUGCUAGUUGAAAAGCAAAUGAAGAAAAGCCACGCAGAUGCCUUCUGCUUCGUGAUGGACUGUGUUCCAUAAAACUAUAAUCCAAAAUAAAUCCUUAAGAUAUUUCUUGUCUUGA